rnacentral:rRNA from 1 species
AGAGUUUGAUCCUGGCUCAGAAUGAACGCUGGCGGCGUGCUUAACACAUGCAAGUCGAACGAGAAAUCCUCUGCUUGCAGAGGAGAGUAAAGUGGCGCACGGGUGAGUAACGCGUGGGUAAUUUACCCUUGGAUUUGGGAUAACAUUUCGAAAGGGGUGCUAAUACCAGAUAAUAUCCUGAUGAUUUUGGUUAUUAGGAUCAAAGAUAGCCUCUACAUGUAAGCUAUUGUGCAAGGAUGAGCCCGCGUACCAUUAGCUAGUUGGCAGGGUAAAGGCCUACCAAGGCGAUGAUGGUUAGCUGGUCUGAGAGGAUGAUCAGCCACACUGGAACUGAAACACGGUCCAGACUCCUACGGGAGGCAGCAGUGAGGAAUUUUGCGCAAUGGGGGAAACCCUGACGCAGCAACGCCGCGUGAGUGAAGAAGGCUUUCGGGUCGUAAAGCUCUGUCAAGAGGGAAGAAGGUAAGGGAUAGUAAUACUGUUUUUUAUUGACGGUACCUCUGAAGGAAGCACCGGCUAACUCCGUGCCAGCAGCCGCGGU